CAAAUCAAGAAUUGACAUUCCUAAUGACGACCAAGAUCCAAAAAAGAUCUCCUGGUCAUCGAGAGGUAAAUCUACCUGCCACUCCUUCAGUGGUGCAAAGUAAAGGACAUUCAGCAAAAAGUCCUGGAGAUCCCCCAAAAUAAAUAUGGUACUAUUAUUA